CCAGUGAAUGAGGGAACGGAACUG
rnacentral:piRNA from 1 species